UAGGUAUAGGACAAUUCUUUUCAUAGCUGUCUAUAAAGUCUUUAUGCUGAAUUACAUCAGAAAUACAAGUAGAUAAAAAGAAAAACAAUGUUUAUUCUUUCUAAGAGUGAUCUUUGAAGACUGUAGAAUGUAGAAGCAUUGCUUGUGUGGGCAUAAUACAGGAAGGAAUGUCCUCUAACAUUGAACUUGAAGAAGUUGCGGGGAAGUAGAUUCUUCCUUCUCCACCGCCUUAACUGAACUAACUAAUUGGUGAAAUGGAACCCUGCUCAAAAUAACUCAAGGAUAAAAGAAUCUUCAUGAGUUCACUUCCAUGAGAAGUCCAGAGGUGCAGCUGACCUCAUUCAAGGCAGUGACCAUCAUUCAAGCUCAAAUGAUGUUGGCGUG